rnacentral:rRNA from 1 species
GAUGAACGCUGGCGGCGUGCCUAAUACAUGCCAGUCGAGCGAACAGACGAGGAGCUUGCUCCUCUGACGUUAGCGGCGGACGGGUGAGUAACACGUGGAUAACCUACCUAUAAGACUGGGAUAACUUCGGGAAACCGGAGCUAAUACCGGAUAAUAUAUUGAACCGCAUGGUUCAAUAGUGAAAGACGGUUUUGCUGUCACUUAUAGAUGGAUCCGCGCCGCAUUAGCUAGUUGGUAAGGUAACGGCUUACCAAGGCAACGAUGCGUAGCCGACCUGAGAGGGUGAUCGGCCACACUGGAACUGAGACACGGUCCAGACUCCUACGGGAGGCAGCAGUAGGGAAUCUUCCGCAAUGGGCGAAAGCCUGACGGAGCAACACCGCGUGAGUGAUGAAGGUCUUCGGAUCGUAAAACUCUGUUAUUAGGGAAGAACAAAUGUGUAAGUAACUAUGCACGUCUUGACGGUACCUAAUCAGAAAGCCACGGCUAACUACGUG